AAGACUAUAGACCUGCGGAGUACCUGCGGAGGGAUCAUUAACGAGUGUAACUUACCCUUUUUUUUAAAAGAGGGUAGUACCUCCUGUCCUUUGUAGGCCCCUUUUUAUUGGGGGGCUUUUUAAGACUUUCUGCUUCGGCGGGGUUAUUCCCGCCGGAACACCCUCAAAAAACUCUUCAAAAACUAAUUCAGUCCGAGAAUUUUUGAAAAUAAAAAAAACUUUUAACAAUGGAUCUCUAGA
rnacentral:misc_RNA from 1 species